rnacentral:rRNA from 1 species
UACGUAGGGUGCAAGCGUUGUCCGGAAUUAUUGGGCGUAAAGAGCUCGUAGGCGGUUUGUCGCGUCUGCUGUGAAAUCUGGGGGCUCAACCCCCAGCCUGCAGUGGGUACGGGCGGACUAGAGUGCGGUAGGGGAGAUUGGAAUCCUGGUGUAGCGGUGGAAUGCGCAGAUAUCAGGAGGAACACCGAUGGCGAAGGCAGAUCUCUGGGCCGUAACUGACGCUGAGGAGCGAAAGCGUGGGGAGCGAACAGG